rnacentral:rRNA from 1 species
GACAGAGGUGCCAAGCGUUAGGCGGAAUCACUGGGCUUAAAGCGUGUGUAGGCGGAUUUCUAAGUACCUUGUGAAAUCCCACGGCUCAACCGUGGAACUGCUGGGCAUACUGGACAUCUCGAGGCACUCAGGGGCGAGCGGAACAAGUGGUGGAGCGGUGAAAUGCGUAGAUAUCACUUGGAACGCCAAUGGUGAAGACAGCUCGCUGGGGGUGUCCUGACGCUGAGGCGCGAAAGCCAGGGGAGCGAACGGG